GCGAUCAUACCAGCACUAAUGCACCGGAUCCCAUCAGAACUCCGAAGUUAAGCGUGCUUGGCGAGAGAAGAUUAGAUACCCCUCGGCACCUAUUUUUGUUAUUCUA
rnacentral:rRNA from 1 species